rnacentral:rRNA from 1 species
UACGGAGGGGGCUAGCGUUGUUCGGAAUUACUGGGCGUAAAGCGCGCGUAGGUGGUUCGUUAAGUUGGAUGUGAAAGCCCCGGGCUCAACCUGGGAACUGCAUUCAAAACUGUCGAGCUAGAGUAUGGUAGAGGGUGGUGGAAUUUCCUGUGUAGCGGUGAAAUGCGUAGAUAUAGGAAGGAACACCAGUGGCGAAGGCGACCACCUGGACUGAUACUGACACUGAGGUGCGAAAGCGUGGGGAGCAAACAGG